GACGAACGCUGGCGGCGUGCUUAACACAUGCAAGUCGAGCGGUAAGGCCCUUUCGGGGGUACACGAGCGGCGAACGGGUGAGUAACACGUGGGUGACCUGCCCUCCAGCUCUGGGAUAAGCCUGGGAAACCGGGUCUAAUACCGGAUAUGACUCCAUGACGCAUGUUGUGGGGUGGAAAGCCUUGUGCGGCUGAGGAUGGGCCCGCGGCCUAUCAGCUUGUUGGUGGGGUGANGGCCUACCAAGGCGACGACGGGUAGCCGGCCUGAGAGGGCGACCGGCCACACUGGGACUGAGACACGGCCCAGACUCCUACGGGAGGCAGCAGUGGGGAAUCUUGCGCAAGUGGGCGAAAGCCUGACGCAGCGACGCCGCGUGAGGGAUGAC
rnacentral:rRNA from 1 species